rnacentral:SRP_RNA from 1 species
GGCAGGGCUAGGUCGGGUGUUUAGGCCGCACCUCCUUCCGCGAAAUGGUCUUUAGCGGAGCCGAAUGCCAAGGGCGAUGUGGGCCAGGUUUUCUGGUCCGGUAUGCCAACCGAGAAGCCUCGUCCUGCAGGAUUAUCUUCAUGAUGAACCGGGUCAGGUGGGGAACCAAGCAGCCCGAAGUUAUGAUGGUGAUGCUUGUAGGGUUAACGGGGUGGAGAAGGUAUACAGGAUAACCAGUUUAUCUGGAGCGCAUCCACCAAGGAGGCCCUGCC